AAAUCGAUCCCGAAAGAGUUGCCGUAUGGUAGCCGAAGCUCGAAAGAGAUAGGGGUCGAUUCCGCA
rnacentral:ncRNA from 1 species